ensembl:lncRNA
CUAAUUCCUCUUUUGAAACCCUUGAUUAGUGGGUGGCUGUCCCCAUUAACUCCAGAUUAGAUGAUCAAUUCUAAAGAAAGGUCCAUAUUGAAGAAAUAAGUAAUAUUUAAAAGGUAUUUUGGACAGUGCAAAGAGGGGUUAAUUCCCUAAUCUGGUGUCGAGUCCAGGCCUCUCCUAGUUCAGAAACAUCCCAUGAGAAUGGGUGUGUGACUGUUGAAACACUGCAGUAGCCUAUUUUUCUUUUUUAAAUAUUUUUUAUCAAGACAUGGCUUUAAAUACUCCGAAGACUGUAGUCGCAUGAUUUCUGGUGAAAUCCACCAAAACUGGGGGCAAUGAUUUCAAAUGACACAUACAUUACUCAGAUUUGUCUGCUACACUAAUAUCACUACAAACUCCAUAAUAUUACAAAUAUAUACAUAUAUUAUUUUGGUGGCAAGGCAGAUACUUUCAGUGUCAGGCACCACCUCUAUUCCUGUAAUCUUCUGUGUGAAGAAAAUUGUUGCUUGGCCCACACUCCCGAAAGAUGCACUGUUAUUGAGAAAAGUAUAACUUGACUAAGACUUUAUGUCAUGAUGGUAGUUCUUGUCAACAAGCCAUCGUAACCUGUAGUGACCAAUAGCAUUCAACACGACUCAGUCCCAAGUAUGUAUUUGGUGUGUCUGUGUGCUGCUUAGUUUCUUUCAAUAAUGUACUUCUGAGGCAAAACCGCUGCAUUUAGUUUGCUGGUAAAUAUACACUGUUUUUUCAACAAAUCAAAUUAUUUUUCCUUUUUAAAGAAAAUAUUUAUGAGCUGGAGUGAAACAAUAAUGGAAUAAAAUAUUAAAUACCUUUCCGUUAGUUAUGUAGAAAAGUGACGCAAGUGAAGUCUGAUCCUAACGAACUAGGGCAACCUAAUUUGAUGCUCUGGCCAUGACAGUGGCUAAGAUGACUAUCUAGAAAACUUAUCAGUGAGCAUUCUUCACUAAUUCCAUGCACUAGUUCUAGGGAAUUCUGCCAACUAAUUUGAUUGAAAGGAUGACUUAUCCUCACUGCAGACAAGUGAAGUAAAUAUGGCACCCCCGUGUUCUGUCCACCGGACCCCACGGGAAUAGUCUAUUCAGCUCACCACACUUUUUUCCAGUCUCAUUGCUUUACCAUUACAAGAUUGGUUGUUUGGAUUUGAGCCAGUUAGAGGAGGCUUAAAAGCCUUAAAUAAUAUGCAUACCUUUUUGUGACAUCCAUCAGUACUGACUUGGCUGACAAUAUUUGGACCAGUGCAGCAGAGGAGACCUGCACAACGCAUCUGGGGUCAAUGCGACAGACGGCUUACACAUGGAUGGAUUAAUGGCAACCGGCGCUGAUGAUUCCCCAACCUGUGCCUUGAAAGUGUAGACGGCAAAGUGAACACAGCUAGUGAUUAGCACGCAGUAGGCUAAAACACUAGCCCGCAUGGAAAACCUGAGCAUUCUUCCAAAGAUGGAGCUGAUUUGCCUCACAAUUCCAGUUCCUCCUGGACGAAUGACAGAAGGCUGCGAACCUCGUGCAACACAAUCAGCCACCAGCCAAAUGUUGGUAAAUCUAGUUUGUGGCCGGUUAGGAUUGUACGUACCCAGCCAUAUUGGCAAGUGAGUGGCUAUUGUAGGGUUAUUUAUUUAAACUUUCCAUCUACUUUCUAACUGGGGCCUCCUUUUUAAAUCUUCUUUUGAUUGAAUAUAUCGGUGAAUUAAAUCUUUGAAAUUAAUAUAAUGUGAAAGCCAUACGCAGAGAUAUCUGUAAAUUGGGGCUGGCCUGUUUUACGAAGAAUCAGACAAAUUGUUUAAUCCAACUAUAUCAUUGUUUGUCUAGAAGGGGAGUAUGCUUGGUUAGUAUUAGCUUUCCGUUAGCCUCUUCCAUCGACUUACAGAGUGGCCUACCUCCUGUUCAUAUUAGGGGAACACUCGUUUAAUUACUUUCCAAUAUGUCAGGCAAAACCAGAUUGUAGUUUGCCUACAAACACGGAUAGUGCAGCACUUUUUUUGGCGCUAUGAUCAUUAGGGUAGAUGUGAUGUGCUACUGACGGGUUACCCUCCAUUCAACCCAAAUGUCACCUCCACUACCCAGCCAGACGUCGCUGAUGAUAUGAUUGUUCCAGCAGUGCAUCAGAUGUAGCCUAAUAAUCACAGCGCCACGCCGUUUGUAAACAAACAACAAUCUUGUGUUGUUUCUGGCACUAGUUUUGAGUAAGAAACUUUUCAGAAUCCAUUGGAAAGUAAUUAAAAGUGCAUUCCCCUCACAAAAUCCGUGACAGUGACAAACAGCCUUUUGGUUCCCAUUCACAUGGUAACAGACUUUGAAGUGACUGAAAGGGCUUUCUUUCAGACAUGGGAGGGAUCUCUAAAACCCUAGAUGAGUCUAAUAUUAAACUAAGACGAUGUAAACAACAAUACAGUUAAGAUAAUAGGUAUUUGUUAAACACUGGUUUAAAUGUUAUCUUCAGUGACAUCAAAAUCCUCAUUUUAGAAUGUAAUACACAUGCAAGCGGGCCUCCCCUGAGUGACCUUUAAAAAAGGGAAAUGGUUGGUAUGUUAAACAGAUUUUCAUGCUUUUCAUUUAUUUAGUUCAAAGGGCAGUUCAACGUCACAAAAGAUUCAAAUAUUUUUGUUUUGAAAAUGUUGUUGAACCAUCAUGGGUUUUAAGUUGCGUGUAAAACGGCCACAAAGUGAAACAUGGUCAUUCCUUUUCCGAGCCACCUAUUGGAAGCUGUGAUUAAUGCUAUGUCAAUGUCAUGAAUAAUACUUUACAGGCAGAACAAUAUAAAUUGAAAGAAUGGGAUAUGUUAUUAGGUUGUGUUGUAAUUUUGAGUGAAUGUAGGGAGACUGUUGUGAGCCAUAACGGGGUUAUAUAGACUAAUCUGUGCCAAUCAGAAAAUCCCCAUUGCAGCAGAUACACGUAAUAGAAGCCAUGCCAGCCACAGCCAGUUCACCACGCUCCUCCAGACUGAGUGCUGUGCCACACGUGGGCCUCCCGAAUUGCAGACAAAACCACAGCGACUCGAGUCAUGUCGCAUCUGGUGAUAUAGCCCAGCAUCGGCCAGGCUGACAAAGACCAUACUUUGUCCUCCUAGCAACGGUGUCUGUGACUACGGCUGUUGGUCAAGGUGGAUGCGCUCCACAGUGUCUUGAAUGGGUCUAAUGAUGACAUGCCUUGUGACCCAACACGGGUGCACAUCG